AGAAAAAAAAAGAAGGCAAGCCCACAGCGGGGGUGAGCAUGCGCACCGGGGAGACGGGGCUCGCUCGUGCCGGGGUAGCCCCUGCGAGCCCACAGCGCCGCCUGGGGACCGGAGGCCGUCGACCCACGGCCCCUCCUGGCUUGCUUCAUUCUUCCCUGUUGUAAUUGGAAUUUACUUACAUGGCGGAGAACAUGGUCACUUGGAAGUUCUGUCAGAAUAAUCCCAAGGAGAUACCUAGACCAGUCUGGCUUGGUAGCAUGAUCAUUUCUGGAUCGCAUCUACAUCCUCAAAUUAGAGCACAAAUACUGCUCUGCUAAAUGGAGUGGGGAUUAAAAGGAAUGAGUGACCAAGGACUAAUUUAGCUUGGGGGCAUGGAAGAACGGUGAUGGUGAUGCUAUUUACCCAAAGUGGAGAGAGGGAACACAAGCAGGGGGAGUGGAAGAGGGAGAAGCAGGCUUCCGCCGAGCAGGGAGCCUGAUGCGGGGCUCGAUCCCAGGACCCUGGGAUCAUGACCUGAGCCGAAGUCAGACACUUAACGACUGAGCCACCCAGGCGCCCCUCCCCAGAGAUGAAAUUCCCAAUCUUCUACCUUGCAGUUGUCUACUUGGAAACUGCUGUUCUGGGGACAGAAAAUACAGGAACAACCCAGAUACCCAUGAUUGGACACUAUGGACACACUGUGGUACAACCAUACCAUGGAGUAUGAUGCAGCAGCCAUCAAAAAGAUGAUGAAGAUCUCUGUGAACUGAUAUGGAAUCAUUUGCAGCAUAUAUUGCUCUAUAAAAGGCCCAGAAGUAAUGAUACUCCAGUAGUCAUGAGCACACCUGACACUUAGUUCUGGAGGGAACUGAAAUACCAUUUCCCACUCAAAGAAACCAGGGCUUCUUGCAGACAUGGCUGGCUCCAGCUCUGGAAAAGGGAAAGUAAAAUGUGAUAUGGAGACAUCUCUUUUGUUUGAUUAAACCUGUUGCAACCUAUUGAUGAAAGUAUUCAAUGUUACAUGAAAAUAAUUUCAGGAGGCAUAUUUCCAUGACUAAGAAUAUGUGGGUGUGGGUGUGUCUCAUAUCUCACGGACAAUCUUACGAACAAUCACACAUACAAUGUGUUUACAAACAGACCCCCAAUAUUUUUCAAUCUACAAAAACUCAUGUGGAGAACCACUCUUUUUCAGAGUCUGCAGACUGUCUUAUCCAUUGAUGUGCUUGCAGUGCAUCCUUUAUUUGUACCCCCUCCUCCAACUCCAGACCUCAGUAAUGGUUUUCUUUGAUAACCAAGGCAAUAGAUUUCUUAAAUGAGGGGAUCAGAAAUUCUAAUUCUCCAGUCACCUGGGUAGCUAAUGCUUUAAUCUGCAUAAAAACUGUAUUAAAAUUCACUUCACAUAGGCAGGAGGAAAAAAGGAGAUGACAUCAGAGGUGCUUUGCUAAAGAUCAGAGGAACUGCAGCUGUGGCCUCCCCAUUCAUCAGGUGGCACAUUUAUCCAGUUCUGCCACUUCUGUGAUAAGAGUAGACUUUAUAAAGAUGGCUCCCUUACAAGGUUUAGAACAGUCAACAAAAGCUGUCAGACUGACUUUUGAAAAAUGGGACUUAGGUCACUAGAAAAUUCUUGAAGGUUAUAUUCAAUCAAAUCCUACUGAAAAAUCUGCUUCCUACUUUUUUUACUAAAGGGUUCUUGGUGGGUAUUGUCCCUAUCGCUAAUGUAUUCCCCCCCCCCCCAAAUUGGCAAACAGACCAGAUCAACUGGACAUCAAAUACUUGAGGACUUAAGUAUAUUUUAACCUUCUGUUUAUGGAACUUUUGCUUAAUGAUGAAUCUUCUUGUUAAUAUUUAAAACAAUUGGGUUUUACUGACUUUAUAAAAAUGGAAAUUGGAAAGUAUCUGUCAUCAGUAAACUAAAUGUUUUAUUCAAAUUCUAGUAUAAUUUAUUUUUGUGAAAAGGUUAUUUACUAAGUCAUUUUUAAAAAGACUUAUUUUAGAUAGAGACACACACAGAAACAGAGACAGAGUGGGGAG